UCCGGGGUCGUCUAACAGGUAGGACAGCGGGUUUUGGUCUCGCCAAUCCUGGUUCAAAUCCAGGCCCCGGAA
rnacentral:tRNA from 1 species